GCGCCCGUAGCUCAGUUGGAUUAGAGUACCUGGCUACGAACCAGGUGGUCGGAGGUUCGAAUCCUUCCGGGCGCACCA
rnacentral:tRNA from 1 species